rnacentral:rRNA from 1 species
UUACACAUGCAAGUCGAGCGCUCGUAGCAAUACGGGAGCGGCAGACGGGAGAGUAACACGUGGGAACGUACCCUUCGGUUCGGAAUAACCCAGGGAAACUUGGGCUAAUACCGGAUACGUCCGUAAGGAGAAAGAUUUAUCGCCGAAGGAUCGGCCCGCGCCCGAUUAGCUAGUUGGUGAGGUAACGGCUCACCAAGGCGACGAUCGGUAGCUGGUCUGAGAGGAUGAUCAGCCUCACUGGGACUGAGACACGGCCCAGACUCCUACGGGAGGCAGCAGUGGGGAAUAUUGGACAAUGGGCGCAAGCCUGAUCCAGCCAUGCCGCGUGGGUGAUGAAGGCCUUAGGGUUGUAAAGCCCUUUCGGCGGGGAAGAUAAUGACGGUACCCGCAGAAGAAGCCCCGGCUAACUUCGUGCCAGCAACCGCGGUAAUACGAAGGGGGCUAGCGUUGCUCGGAAUCACUGGGCGUAAAGCGCACGUAGGCGGAUUCUUAAGUCAGAGGUGAAAUCCUGGAGCUCAACUCCAGAACUGCCUUUGAUACUGA